GACGAACGCUGGCGGCGUGCUUAACACAUGCAAGUCACGGGGGCCCAGGGGCAACUCUGGGCAACCGGCGAACGGGUGCGUAACACGUGAGCAACCUGCCUAUCUGCGGGGGAUAGCCGGCCCAACGGCCGGGUAAUACCGCAUACGUUCACGAGGGGACAUCCCCUUGUGAGGAAAACUCCGGUGCAGAUAGAGGGGCUCGCGGCCUAUCAGCUAGUUGGUGAGGUAACGGCUCACCAAGGCGACGACGGGUAGCUGGUCUGAGAGGAUGGCCAGCCACAUUGGGACUGCGACACGGCCCAGACUCCUACGGGAGGCAGCAGUGGGGAAUAUUGGACAAUGGGGGAAACCCUGAUCCAGCGACGCCGCGUGGGUGAAGAGGGCCUGCGGGUUGUAAAGCCCUUUCAGUGGGGAAGAAAAGCCUCGACCUAACACGUCGGGUCUUGACGUAACCCAUAGAAGAGCACCGGCUAACUCUGUGCCAG
rnacentral:rRNA from 1 species